rnacentral:rRNA from 1 species
AAAUUGAAGAGUUUGAUCAUGGCUCAGAUUGAACGCUGGCGGCAGGCCUAACACAUGCAAGUCGAACGGUAACAGGAAACAGCUUGCUGUUUCGCUGACGAGUGGCGGACGGGUGAGUAAUGUCUGGGAAACUGCCUGAUGGAGGGGGAUAACUACUGGAAACGGUAGCUAAUACCGCAUAACGUCGCAAG